GCAACAGCUCAAAUUUGAAAUCUGGCCCUCGGGUCCGAAUUGUAAUUUGUAGAGGAUACUUUUGGCGAGGUGCCUUCCGAGUUCCCUGGAACGGGACGCCAUAGAGGGUGAGAGCCCCGUCUGGUCGGAUACCAAGCCUCUGUAAAGUUCCUUCGACGAGUCGAGUAGUUUGGGAAUGCUGCUCAAAAUGGGAGGUAUAUGUCUUCUAAAGCUAAAUAUUGGCCAGAGACCGAUAGCGCACAAGUAGAGUGAUCGAAAGAUGAAAAGCACUUUGAAAAGAGGGUUAAAAAGUACGUGAAAUUGUUGAAAGGGAAGCGCCUAUGACCAGACUUGGGCCCGGUGAAUCAUCCAGCGUUCUCGCUGGUGCACUUUGCCGGGCACAGGCCAGCAUCAGUUUGGCGCGGGGGAUAAAGGCUUUGGG
rnacentral:rRNA from 2 species